NNCAGCUGACCAGUCCCAAAUAGGACAAAACGCGCGUCGUAGAU
rnacentral:hammerhead_ribozyme from 1 species